rnacentral:rRNA from 1 species
GACGAACGCUGGCGGCGUGCUUAACACAUGCAAGUCGAACGGAAAGGCCCUGCUUUUGUGGGGUGCUCGAGUGGCGAACGGGUGAGUAACACGUGGGUAACCUGCCCUUGACUUUGGGAUAACUUCAGGAAACUGGGGCUAAUACCGGAUAGGAGCUCCUGCUGCAUGGUGGGGGUUGGAAAGUUUCGGCGGUUGGGGAUGGACUCGCGGCUUAUCAGCUUGUUGGUGGGGUAGUGGCUUACCAAGGCUUUGACGGGUAGCCGGCCUGAGAGGGUGACCGGCCACAUUGGGACUGGGGUACGGCCCAGACUCCUACGGGAGGCAGCAGUGGGGAAUAUUGCACGAUGGGGGGAAGCCUGAUGCAGCAACGCCGCGUGCGGGAUGACGGCCUUCGGGUGGUAAACCGCUUUCGCCUGUGACGAAGCGUGAGUGACGGUAAUGGGUAAAGAAGCACCGGCUAACUACGUG